rnacentral:rRNA from 1 species
CAGAGGGUGCAAGCGUUAAUCGGAAUUACUGGGCGUAAAGCGUGCGUAGUCGGUUAUUUAAGUCGGGUGUGAAAUCCCCGGGCUCAACCUGGGAAUUGCAUUCGAUACUGGAUAGCUAGAGUUCGGCAGAGGGAAGCGGAAUUUCCGGUGUAGCGGUGAAAUGCGUAGAUAUCGGAAGGAACAUCAGUGGCGAAGGCGGCUUCCUGGACCAGAACUGACGAUCAGGCACGAAAGCGUGGGGAGCAAACAGGAUUAGAUACCCUGGUAGUCCACGCCAUAAACGAUGACAACUAGACGUUGGGAGGGUAAGCCUCACAGUGUCGCAGCUAACGCGUUAAGUUGUCCGCCUGGGGAGUACGGCCGCAAGGUUG